rnacentral:misc_RNA from 1 species
GUCAAUGGAAGCAAUGUCUGG